AUAUUUAUAGAGUUCUAUUAGGUUACAUAGUUUGUUAUUUAAGAAUUUUGUGUUCAUUUGGGAUUCCUAAUUUAGUAUUUGAUUAGAGAUUUCGUAUUUAAGGAUUCCAAAUCCUAGUAUUAAUAGGAAUAGUUAAUAUAUUAUACAUACCUCUGUUUUAAGUAUUUUAGGGAGAAUUUAUUACGAUAUUAUUAUUGAUAAUGAAUAAAAUUUGAAAAUUUAUUUCUUCUUUAUUUGAGAAUUUGUUUCUUUAGAGAAAGUGUUUAUCUACCAUUUGAGAAUUUGUUUUUCAUCCCUAGUUCCUCAUAACUCUACUAGUUCUAAAUCAAUUUGGUUUCAAAGCCCAUUUAGAUCCUUCCCAUUUUAGGUUUCCUCCAAAGAAAACUCAACUUAGGAAUUAUAUUCAUAAUAGAAUUAGGAAGUUUAGAUUUCUACUAUUUACGAAUUCUAUUAUUAUUUAGGAAUAAUGAAAAAGUUACAUUAGAUUCACUAUUUUCUAGUUAGUUAGUAUUAGUUUAGUGUUUCCUUAUUUUGAGAUUCCUAAUCCUAAUAAUAGUAGGACUUGCUAUUAGACAAUAAAUAUCUAUGUAAUCUAGGUAUUCUAGUAGAGCUUAUUAUGAUUAUUAAUUUAUUAUUGACAAUUGAGAAUUA
rnacentral:misc_RNA from 1 species